rnacentral:rRNA from 1 species
UAGCUAGUUGGUGAGGUAACGGCCCACCAAGGCGACGAUCGGUAGCCGGACUGAGAGGUUGAACGGCCACAUUGGGACUGAGACACGGCCCAGACUCCUACGGGAGGCAGCAGUGGGGAAUAUUGCACAAUGGGGGAAACCCUGAUGCAGCGACGCCGCGUGGAGGAAGAAGGUCUUCGGAUUGUAAACUCCUGUUGUUGGGGAAGAUAAUGACGGUACCCAACAAGGAAGUGACGGCUAACUACGUGCCAGCAGCCGCGGUAAAACGUAGGUCACAAGCGUUGUCCGGAAUUACUGGGUGUAAAGGGAGCGCAGGCGGGAAGACAAGUUGGAAGUGAAAUCUAUGGGCUCAACCCAUAAACUGCUUUCAAAACUGUUUUUCUUGAGUAGUGCAGAGGUAGGCGGAAUUCCCGGUGUAGCGGUGGAAUGCGUAGAUAUCGGGAGGAACACCAGUGGCGAAGGCGGCCUACUGGGCACCAACUGACGCUGAGGCUCGAAAGUGUGGGUAGCAAACAGGAUUAGAUACCCUGGUAGUCCACACCGUAAACGAUGAUUACUAGGUGUUGGAGGAUUGACCCCUUCAGUGCCGCAGUUAACACAAUAAGUAAUCCACCUGGGGAGUACGACCGCAAGGUUGAAACUCAAAGGAAUUGACGGGGGCCCGCACAAGCAGUGGAGUAUGUGGUUUAAUUCGACGCAACGCGAAGAACCUUACCAAGUCUUGACAUCCCUUGACAGACAUAGAGAUAUGUAAUCUCUUCGGAGCAAGGAGACAGGUGGUGCAUGGUUGUCGUCAGCUCGUGUCGUGAGAUGUUGGGUUAAGUCCCGCAACGAGCGCAACCCUUAUGGUCAGUUACUACGCAAGAGGACUCUGGCCAGACUGCCGUUGACAAAACGGAGGAAGGUGGGGAUGACGUCAAAUCAUCAUGCCCUUUAUGACUUGGGCUACACACGUACUACAAUGGCGUUAAACAAAGAGAAGCAAGACCGCGAGGUGGAGCAAAACUCAGAAACAACGUCCCAGUUCGGACUGCAGGCUGCAACUCGCCUGCACGAAGUCGGAAUUGCUAGUAAUCGUGGAUCAGCAUGCCACGGUGAAUACGUUCCCGGGCCUUGUACACACCGCCCGUCACACCAUGAGAGCCGGGGGGACCCGAAGUCGGUAGUCUAACCGCAAGGAGGACGCCGCCGAAGGUAAAACUGGUGAUUGGGGUGAAGUCGUAACAAGGUAACCGUACUAGUACGGCUGAGU